rnacentral:snRNA from 1 species
AUGGCUUCUCAGCCUUUUGGCUAAGAUCAAGUGUAGUAUCUGUUCUUAUCAGUUUAAUAACUGACUAAUUGAUUAUUAGGACAUGGAAAUUGAAUUAUGGGCUUGCUCUUGUCCACUCUUCACAUCGACCUGGUAUUGGAACGAUGCACCCGUC